GCCUGAGUGGCUCAGUCUGUUAAGUGUUUGACUUCGGCUCAGUUUGUGAUCUUGUGGUUUGUGGGUUCGAGCCCCACGUCAGGCU
rnacentral:tRNA from 1 species